UUAAAUUGAAGAGUUUGAUCAUGGCUCAGAUUGAACGCUGGCGGCAGGCCUAACACAUGCAAGUCGAACGGUAACAGGAAGCAGCUUGCUGCUUCGCUGACGAGUGGCGGACGGGUGAGUAAUGUCUGGGAAACUGCCUGAUGGAGGGGGAUAACUACUGGAAACGGUAGCUAAUACCGCAUAACGUCGCAAGACCAAAGAGGGGGACCGUC
rnacentral:rRNA from 1 species